GGUUGAAUGGAUGACCAAUUGAGCAGGUGAGCAUGCUGAAUCCGACCCAUAUACCGAUGAUGAAGCAACGCGCAGCAGUUGAAAGCGUCCAAGCACAAAGCCGAUUAGCAUGAGGCCACGCUAUAAAAUCUGUCCAUGGUCCAUAAGAUUGAUUGGCGAAACAGGCCGUUUGAGCGCUGAACACUUUGUUUGAAGUCAUUGGCCUCAUUGUACAACUCCCACUUCUUCCUGAGCGGGUGCUUCAUGUAAAAAACAGAGAAAAAUUGUCAAUUAAAUUC
rnacentral:lncRNA from 1 species